rnacentral:misc_RNA from 1 species
AAGUCGUAACAAGGUUUCCGUAGGUGAACCUGCGGAAGGAUCAUUAUUGAAUAAACCUGGCGUGGUUGUAGCUGGUCCUCUCGGGGACAUGUGCUCGCCCGUCAUCUUUAUAUCUCUCCACCUGUGCACCCUUUGUAGACCUGGACGAUAACUUUCCGAGGCAACUCGGUCGGGAGGACUGCUGGCUUUCACGAGUCGGCUUUCCUUGUAUUAUCCAGGCCUAUGUUUACACAUACCCCAAAGAAUGUAACAGAAUGUAUUGUAUAUGGCCUAGUGCCUAUAAACUAUAUACAACUUUCAGCAACGGAUCUCUUGGCUCUC